rnacentral:rRNA from 1 species
GACGAACGCUGGCGGCGUGCUUAACACAUGCAAGUCGAACGGAAAGGCCCUGCUUUUGUGGGGUGCUCGAGUGGCGAACGGGUGAGUAACACGUGAGUAACCUGCCCUUGACUUUGGGAUAACUUCAGGAAACUGGGGCUAAUACCGGAUAGGAGCUCCUGCUGCAUGGUGGGGGUUGGAAAGUUUCGGCGGUUGGGGAUGGACUCGCGGCUUAUCAGCUUGUUGGUGGGGUAGUGGCUUACCAAGGCCUUGACGGGUAGCCGGCCUGAGAGGGUGACCGGCCACAUUGGGACUGAGAUACGGCCCAGACUCCUACGGGAGGCAGCAGCGGGGAAUAUUGCACAAUGGGCGGAAGCCUGAUGCAGCAACGCCGCGUGCGGGAUGACGGCCUUCGGGUUGUAAACCGCUUUCGCCUGUGACGAAGCGUGAGUGACGGUAAUGGGUAAAGAAGCACCGGCUAACUACGU